AGCAGUCAGCACCAUCUAUAGGCGGAACUUGCACGCUACCGGGCGAGUUCUCCACCGGAUUGCCGCUCUUAACCGUCCCGGCGACUGAUAUGCGUUGAAAGACUAAACCCUAAAUCAAUUAUCCCGAUCUUUAUUGGUAUCUCUCCAAUUGGCAUUGGAACCUGCUAUGUUAAGGUGGAUGACAAUGGAUCCAGUAUCUCACGAUAUGGACUGGUGCUGAUGGGAGAAAGAUAUGCGACAUCAAAAUACAGCCAUUCAGACGACAUUCGUACUUUCCUAGCAAGCUUUGGCGUUAAAGGAGAGGUUCAGAGCUCUAUUUCUGUCGUUCUUUGGUGGAAAUUGUUGCUAAAACUCACUGGAGACGAAAUGAAUAUCGUAAGGUUUUGAAGGGUUCAAUCACACAUAUGGGUGGUACCAUAUGUCUUGGAUCAAUAAGAAUGUAUUUUCAAGUAAAAAAUUCUGAACCUGCAAUACUAUUUGGCAACCAGAGCUUUGUAGAUGAGAGGCACGUCAUAGAUAUGAGCAAUUUGAAGAUGCUGGCCUUUCUUUCACUGGAAAAGAUGAGUGUGGUUGCUGCAUGGAGGUGAACCUUUUAUGUAAUUGAAUUAUGAAGUCAUGAUAAAUACUCGUAGUGUUGUUAUUGGUUUAAUUAUAAUUGAAUUAUGAAGCCAUUGAAUGGAAAUAUGUGAAGUUUUUCUUGUUUAAGGCCCCACUCACACAACUCUAAAUAAAAUUAAGUAGUUUAAUUUUAAGAAGUUGUGAUUCGUAAUACUUUGAAUGAAGACACUUAAUUGGACAGACUAUCAUAUACACCCUCAGUGGUCAUUUUCUUUUACAUGGUCUAGACUUUUUUUCUUCUUUGAAAUGAACAUGGUCUAGAAUUUUUUAUUUUGAUUGUUUCUUAAGAGUUGAAAAUUGUGUCAUGUAAGAGAAUGGGGAAUUUUAUGUUUUCUGAUUUAAUUAAUGUCUUGAGGAUCAAUAGAUGUGGGCUGCUGAGGAUAUGGCAAGUCGUGCUUUAAUGCAAUGUUAAUCACUUGGACUAGUUGCACAAAAGGUAGUGAUCAAUGAGGCUCUUUCAUUAAUUCUUAUGUUCCUUUGUUUGCUAGUUCUGAUUAUGAGGGCAUAUGCUUUAUAUGAAAAUUGAUAUACGUUUCCUCCUAUUAGCAUGAUGCUCCAUUCUAGUAUCGAAGUAUUUUUUCCCCAAAUGAAUACUCUUAUAUCACAAUACUAUUUCUUUUUUCCAUGAGAUUUACUUCCUUGUAGGACUGUUCUUUUGAUGUUUGUUAUUCUUAUAAGUUGUGUUCUCCUAGGUGAACUUUAAGAUGGAUGAUAAUGGUAAGUAUUAGUAUAGGCGACAUGGAUCUAAUGCAUUUUGAUGGGCAUAAAGUUCUGGCCAAUUUAUUAUUUUCCUUCAUCCCCUGAAGUUGUAAUUUCUUUUGAAGGAUCUGGUGUCUCACAAGAUGGACGAGGAGAGAAAGAUAUGGUAAUUGUUUUGCAAAAUAUUGGACUGACAACUCUUAUGUUCAUAACUUGGAAUGGUUGUUGUAGUCUAUGGGGUUGCAUGCAUUACUCAACUGAUAGGCUGUUGACGGUUUGUGUAUGUUAGUAUCUUUUUGCAGAUGUUCUUUUGUUUAUUGUUUUUCGGUUUUACUUGUAAUUGGGCAAACUGGUACGGCUAUACGCAACACAAAAUAUUGAUGCUUACAUUUUGUUUUUGCUUUUACUGUAUGAUGUUCAUGUACUUCGCAUUCCUAGUGCCUUGUUUGCAAUAAAAUACUUUCUUUACCUA